AGAAUAUGUCCAUUUAUACCGUAGACAGCAGGGGCCUUAUGGCUUAAUUAACCCGCCGAGGUGUAUAUGUCACAGUCUUACGUUAACGUAUGCUUGUAUAUACAGCCUCCAUGUCUUAUUGGAGGCUUUUUAUAUGGAGAA
rfam:Bacillus pumilus SAFR-032, complete genome.